rnacentral:rRNA from 1 species
GACGAACGCUGGCGGCGUGCCUAAUACAUGCAAGUCGACCUUAGUGGCGAACGGGUGAGUAACACGUGGGUAACCUGCCCAUCAGAGGGGGAUAACACUUGGAAACAGGUGCUAAUACCGCAUACUGAUGGAUGGACCCGCGGUGCAUUAGCUAGUUGGUGAGGUAACGGCUCACCAAGGCCACGAUGCAUAGCCGACCUGAGAGGGGGAUGGGCCACAAGGGGACUGAGACACGGCCCAGACUCCUACGGGAGGCAGCAGGAGGGAACCUUCGGAAAUGGACGAAAGUCUGACCGAGCAACGCCGCGUGAGUGAAGAAGGUUUUCGGAUCGUAAAACUCUGUUGUUAGAGAAGCGGUAUCUAACCAGAAAGCCACGGCUAACUACGUGCCAGCAGCCGCGGUAAUUC